UAUUCUGCAAAUUUGGACAAUGUUCAAGUUUACUGGUCUUCGACUCCCUCGCCUCCAAAGCCACCAUCUCCUCUUGUUUGCAAGUGCACCCCUCAAGAGACAGAAUGGUGCAUGGAUUGCUACAUUGACAUGCUCAUUACGCAUUGACAAGCUCAUGGCUGCUAAUACCCCAUAGGCUGAGGAGCAAAAGGAGGAAUUCGCUAGAGGGGAGGCUCACGUCUGAUUUAGCUAGUUAGUGAGGCAAUAGCUUACCAAGGUGAUGAUCAGUAGCUUGUCCGAGAGGAUGAUCAGCCACACUGGGACUGAGACACGGCCCAGACUCUUAUGGGAGGCAGCAAUGGGGAAUUUUUCGCAAUGGGUGAAAGCAACAUGGAGCAAUGUUGCGUGGAUGUAGAGGGCAUACGGGUCAUGAACUUCUUUUCCAGGAUAAGAAGCAAUAACGGUAACUGGGGAAUAAGCAUCGGCUAACUCUAUGCCAGCAGUCGUGGUAAUACAAAGGAUGCAAGCGUUAUCUAGAAUGAUUGGGCGUAAAGCGUCUGUAGGUGGCUUUUUAAGUCCACCGUCAAAUCCCAGGGCUCAACCCUAGAUAGGCAGUGGAAACUACCAAGCUAGAGUACGGUAGGGGCAGAGGGAAUUUCUGGUGGAGCGGUGAAAUGAGUAGAUAUCAUAAAGAACACCAACGAUGAAAGCACUCUGCUAGCCCAACACUGACACUUAGAGACGAAAGCUAGGGGAGCAAAUAGGAUUAGAUACCCCUGUAGGCCUAACCAUAAAAGAUGGAUACUAGGCGUUGUGCUUAUCGACUCGUGCAGUGCUGUAGCUAACGCGUUAAGUAUCCUGCUUGGGGAGUAUGUUCGCAAGAAUGAAACUCAAAGGAAUUGAUGAGGACCCGCACAAGCGGUGGAGCAUGUGGUUUAAUUCGAUGCAAACCCAAGAUUCCAGACUUUUAUUAAAUGAGAGAGAGAUCUACCAAGGCAAAUAAUCGAGUUAGAGCUGUAGCUAUGAGUGCUACUGACGGUCUAAAGAAAGGAAUGGAAGUGAUUGACACCGGAGCUCCUCUAAGUGUUCCAGUCGGCGGAGCUACUCUAGGAAGAAUUUUCACCGUGCUUGGAGAACCUGUUGAUAAUUUAGGUCUUGUAGAUACUCGCACAACAUCUCCUAU
rnacentral:rRNA from 1 species